AUUGAACGCUGGCGGCAUGCUUUACACAUGCAAGUCGAACGGUAACAGGCCGCAAGGUGCUGACGAGUGGCGAACGGGUGAGUAAUGCAUCGGAACGUGCCCAGUCGUGGGGGAUAACGCAGUGAAAGCUGCGCUAAUACCGCAUACGAUCUAUGGAUGAAAGCGGGGGACCGUAAGGCCUCGCGCGAUUGGAGCGGCCGAUGUCAGAUUAGGUAGUUGGUGGGGUAAAGGCCUACCAAGCCAACGAUCUGUAGCUGGUCUGAGAGGACGACCAGCCACACUGGGACUGAGACACGGCCCAGACUCCUACGGGAGGCAGCAGUGGGGAAUUUUGGACAAUGGGCGCAAGCCUGAUCCAGCAAUGCCGCGUGCAGGAAGAAGGCCUUCGGGUUGUAAACUGCUUUUGUACGGAACGAAACGGUCCGGGUUAAUACCCUGGGCUAAUGACGGUACCGUAAGAAUAAGCACCGGCUAACUACGUGCCAGCCGCCGCGGUAACAC
rnacentral:rRNA from 1 species